rnacentral:rRNA from 1 species
AUACGUAGGGUGCGAGCGUUGUCCGGAAUUACUGGGCGUAAAGAGCUCGUAGGUGGUUUGUCGCGUCGUCUGUGAAAUUCCGGGGCUUAACUCCGGGCGUGCAGGCGAUACGGGCAUAACUUGAGUACUGUAGGGGAGACUGGAAUUCCUGGUGUAGCGGUGAAAUGCGCAGAUAUCAGGAGGAACACCGGUGGCGAAGGCGGGUCUCUGGGCAGUAACUGACGCUGAGGAGCGAAAGCAUGGGUAGCGAACAGGAUUAGAUACCCUGGUAGUCCAUGCUGUAAACGGUGGGCGCUAGGUGUAGGGGUCUUCCACGACUUCUGUGCCGUAGCUAACGCAUUAAGCGUCCCGCCUGGGGAGUACGGCCGCAAGGCUAAAACUCAAAGGAAUUGACGGGG